rnacentral:rRNA from 1 species
AGAUUGAACGCUGGCGGUAUGCCUAACACAUGCAAGUCGAACGGGAGUAGCAAUACUCUAGUGGCGGACGGGUGAGGAAUACGUAGGAAUUUGCCCUUAAGUGGGGGAUAACCCGGGGAAACCCGGAUUAAUACCGCAUGACCUCGAAAGAGCAAAGUGGGGGAUCGCAAGACCUCACGCUUUUGGAGAAGCCUACGUCGGAUUAGCUAGUUGGUGAGGUAAUGGCUCACCAAGGCGACGAUCCGUAACUGGUCUGAGAGGAUGAUCAGUCACACCGGAACUGAGACACGGUCCGGACUCCUACGGGAGGCAGCAGGUGGGGAAUAGUUGGACAAUGGGCGCAAGGCCUGAUCCAGCAAUGCCGCGUGUGUGAAGAGGUCCGUUCGGUUAGUAAAGUCGUAACGUUUAAGGUAGGGAAAGAAAAACGUCGACUACUAACACUA